rnacentral:rRNA from 1 species
GACGAACGCUGGCGGCGUGCUUAACACAUGCAAGUCGAACGGAAAGGCCCUGCUUUUGUGGGGUGCUCGAGUGGCGAACGGGUGAGUAACACGUGAGUAACCUGCCCUUGACUUUGGGAUAACUUCAGGAAACUGGGGCUAAUACCGGAUAGGAGCUCCUGCUGCAUGGUGGGGGUUGGAAAGUUUCGGCGGUUGGGGAUGGACUCGCGGCUUACCAGCUUGUUGGUGGGGUAGUGGCUUACCAAGGCUUUGACGGGUAGCCGGCCUGGGAGGGUGACCGGCGACAUUGGGACUGAGAUACGGACCAGAGUCCUACGGGAGGCAGCAGUGGGGAAUAUUGCACAAUGGGCGGAAGCCUGAUGCAGCAACGCCGCGUGCGGGAUGACGGCCUUCGGGUUAUAAACCGCUUUCGCCUGUGACGAAGCGUGAGUGACGGUAAUGGGUAAAGAAGCACCGGCUAACUACGUG